GUGGGGAAUAUUGGGCAAUGGGGGAAACCCUGACCCAGCAACGCCGCGUGAGGGAAGAAGGUUUUCGGAUUGUAAACCUCUGUCCUUGGUGACGAAGGAAGUGACGGUAACCAAGGAGGAAGCCCCGGCUAACUACGUGCCAGCAGCCGCGGUAAUACGUAGGGGGCAAGCGUUGUCCGGAAUGACUGGGCGUAAAGGGAGUGUAGGCGGCCGAUUAAGUCUGGAGUGAAAGUCCUGCUUUCAAGGUGGGAAUUGCUUUGGAGACUGGUUGGCUUGAGUGCGGAAGAGGUAAGUGGAAUUCCCAGUGUAGCGGUGAAAUGAGUAGAGAUUGGGAGGAACACAAGUGGCGAAGGCGACUUACUGGGCCGUAACUGACGCUGAGGCGCGAAAGCGUGGGGAGCGAACAGGAUUAGAAACCCUGGUAGUCC
rnacentral:rRNA from 1 species